UGCUUCUCCUGUUUCAUUUGGGCAUG
rnacentral:piRNA from 1 species